CUCAGAUUUCACCCCAAAAGUUCCGUUCACUAUAGGUUAUCAAUAUACGUUACUAAUCAAUACAAAUUAUUAUUUUCCUCGAAUAUCUCCGUCACGAAAUAGUUUCUCCCUCCACGCCCAUCAUUCUGUCCCUCAGAAUUCACUUCAGAUUUUACCUAAAACCAGCCCCUCGGCUCUCCCUCACCUUUCCCCCUCACAAGCUACUCUGUCCCGGCGGAACUGCCUCAACUUUUCCCUCAGCAGCUCCAGCGAAACACUCUGCUGCUUUCUGAGGCGGCUGACCAACACUCCCUCCCUCUGCAACAUCGCCUAAUUUGCCCCAGUGCCACUGCAACACCUUUUCUCGAGCCGCCCGGAUCAUUUUUCUCUUGCGCCGCCCUCACGAAUCGCGCCGCUGACGGCUCUGAGGGCUCUGAGGGCAACGGCGGGAAAAGCCGCGGGCAGCGGCACAGCCCCGCCCCGUCUCGUCUCCCUCAGGGCACCCCCAUGGCCCCUCAGUGACCGCCCGGCACUGUAGCGGCGCUCCAGGCACUGUCUCUGCCUCAGUGUCCCUCCCUGCCGUCAGUCAAACUCGUGGCACCUUCCUCAGUGAUGCUCGGGCACCGGCUUUCCUCCAUGGCACCCCACGGAAACUCAAGGGAAUUUACAGCGAAAGCAGCGAAGGAGCGGCGAGGAGAAGCAAAGGUCGGGUGUUGAUCCUGCCGAAAACCACAAGAGAGCAGCAUUGCUCUUCGCUGGGCUGGCGCUCACAGGUACUGGAGGCUCGGGCUGACCGCAAAUUCCUUGUAGGUGAACACAAAUGACACAGUCCACGAGUCCUGAGCUUUCUUGACGGACUACAGGC
rnacentral:lncRNA from 1 species